rnacentral:rRNA from 1 species
GACGAACGCUGGCGGCGUGCCUAAUACAUGCAAGUAGAACGCUGAAGGAGGAGCUUGCUCUUCUGGAUGAGUUGCGAACGGGUGAGUAACGCGUAGGUAACCUGCCUGGUAGCGGGGGAUAACUAUUGGAAACGCUAGCUAAUACCGCAUAACAGUAGAUGUUGCAUGACAUUUGCUUAAAAGGUGCAAUUGCACCACUACCAGAUGGACCUGCGUUGUAUUAGCUAGUUGGUGGGGUAACGGCUCACCAAGGCGACGAUACAUAGCCGACCGGAGAGGGUGAUCGGCCACACUGGGACUGAGACACGGCCCAGACUCCUACGGGAGGCAGCAGUAGGGAAUCUUCGGCAAUGGACGGAAGUCUGACCGAGCAACGCCGCGUGAGGGAAGAAGGUUUUCGGAUCGUAAAGCUCUGUUGUAAGAGAAGAACGAGUGUGAGAGUGGAAAGUUCACACUGUGACGGUAUCUUACCAGAAAGGGACGGCUAACUACGUG